GACGUAGGUGGCGAACGUUAUCCGGAAUUAUUGGGCGUAAAGGGUGCGUAGAUGGCCUGAUAAGUUAGCAGUGGGAAAUCGAGGCUCAACCUCGUGGAAGCUGGUAAUACUGUCAGGCUCGAGUGCAGGAGAGGUUAACGGAACUCCAUGUGGAGCGGUAAAAUGUGUAGAUAUAUGGAAGAACAUCAAUAACGGCGAAGGCAGUUAACUAUUCUGUUACUGACAUUGAGGCACGAAAGCGUGGGGAGCAAAACGG
rnacentral:rRNA from 1 species